rnacentral:rRNA from 1 species
AGUGGUGGCCAUAGAACGUUGAAUGCACCCUUUUCCAAUGGUUCACAGAAGUUAAGCAACGUUGCUCGCGGUUAGUAUGCGGGUGGGUGACCAUCAGGGCAAUCGCGUGCUGCAGAGU